rnacentral:lncRNA from 1 species
AUGAUGGAGUUCAAAAUUAUUACUGUGAAAAUUUUUAAGCAGUCUUCACUUUAUUCAGCUGCCCUACAAAAAUUUAAUUGCUCUCCAAGUAAACUGCUCAAGAGGAUGAACUACAGAAGUGCAUCAAAUGGAUUCUUAUGGCGUGUUUUAACCAGCACACGACAUGGAUCACAUGCAGUGCAAACCUCCAAUUUUUUGAGCCACAGUACUACGAAACCAUAUGGUGAUCAAAAUCUGCCAACAUCGUUCAUUAAGGCUGAAACAUUGGAUUUUCCUCGUCUACUGGGAGUAAGAAGUCCUGACAUAAUGCUAAUGGUGAAACUUGAGAACUAUGACAUAGCUGAAACACCACACAUAAAAUUUUUAGAGGACAAAACUAACAGUUCUACGUCCUAUCUUGUCUCUAUUUGCUGUCUAAUAAGAAAUGCCUUUAAAAACUUCAGCCUCUGGGAUCUUGCAAGUUUCGUGAGCAGUGCGAAAAAGUUUAAACUCGCAAAUCCACCUGCAGAGGCUACCUCUGUAACGAUAAUUAGGGACGAUGAAACAGAUCCUUACACAAUGCAGGAGACAGUCAAUCAAAUUAUCAAUCGCUCGAUGAGACCUGAGUACACACUGAAUUCUCCUGUGGUGCUAUUAAAAAAAACGUCAAGGGCCGACUGUCGUGACAAAGGAGGAAAACAGAGCGACACGGGAAAUGCAAAGGAAUGUGAAGCAGGCGAUACUUCAAGUUCUGAUAAAAACAAAACUCCCGAGAGAAAAGAUGGCACAAAAUCGGACUCAGGCCAUGAGUCUGCUGAGGAUCCAUCACCUUCAAAAUGUGAACCCGGAUUCUGUCAGUUUCCAAACGAGAAAUUUACACUGAGAUGUCCAGACACCCAGCCACCUGCAAAUUGCUCGAACUGCGGAGCAUUUUCACCUGGUAAAAGCACGGCUUCAGGUGAGAGCGCAUGUUCAAGGGAGCCAUCUUGCUCUUCACCCUCAUCAGGUUGCCAAUCUCCUGGCUCAGGUUCUCUAUCACCUGAGAGAAACGUAUCAGGUUCAUCUUCAGGAGAAUGCCCUAAUAGAUGCUCUCCUCCAGGCACACCUGCAUCUUCUUAUUCAGGGUCUCCAAGAUCAAGCUCAACUUAUGGUAGUUGCCGUAGCUGCUUUACACCAGGUUCAUCAGCAGCAUCUGCUGGGUCUCGUUCGUCUGCUAGAAGUUCAAAUUCAAAUAGAUCGAAUGCUUCAUCAGUGAGAAGUUUAGAGGAAAUUCCUAACUUCCCUGAGGAGGGCGGCUGGGCCUCUUUGCCCGACGACAUCGACGCAGGUUUAGAAGAAGAAAUGUGCGAGAGAAAUCGACCCAGAGAUGAUUAUUGGGACCGUUGGAGGCGUCCUGUGCAAUCUCAAUCUCGUAAUCCCCCUCCACAGGUAAAGGAUGAUGUCAAACUUUAAAAUUACGAAUUACGAUUGAACAUUGUACGAGAAAAAAAUUGGGUAAAAUGAGAGGAUAUAAUUAAAGAGGGCAGGCCAUGAUAAAAAUC